UGUAUGUCUUGAGGAUAGUCAGAUAGGGAA
rnacentral:piRNA from 1 species